GCCCAAACCCUAACCCUAAAACCAUUUCCUCUUCCCCAUCUCUCUCUCACUCAAAACAACGUCGGCGGCAGCGCCUCUCCCCAACCUUCCUCCCACCAGCGCCGCCGCUCCCCCUCCCCCUCCCUCCACCGGUGACCGGCGCCACCGCUCCAUCUCCCCCUCUUCCUCCUGUCUCACCGGCACGGCGCGGCGACUGGGAGGGGACCCACCAGCAGCGCCGCUUCCCCUCGGCCACUCCCCCCUUCCUCCACCGGCGGCGCUCUCCUUCCGGCACGAAUCCGGCGGCGGCGGCGGCUCCCUCAACCCCUUGUCACCUCCCUCCCGCGGUAUAUCCGGCGGCGGUGGCGGUGGCGGUGGCGGCGUCGGCGGGAGGAGGUGGAUCCGGCAGUGGCGGCGGUGGCUCCCUCCGCCCCCUCUCGCCUCCCUCCUGCGGCAGAUCUAGCGGCGGUGGCGGCCUCGCGGCGGCCAUGGGUGGAUCCAGUGGUGGUGGCGGCUGCGGAGGACAGAUCCGGCGACAGCGGCGGCGGCUCCCUCUGCCCCCUCUCGCUUCCCUCCCUCGGCUGAAACGACGGUGGUGGCGGGCGUCGGCAGCGCAGCUCGGCAAGCCACUGCCGGCGGCCACUCCGCGCCCCUUCACCGGUUUUGGCCAUGGGAGGCGGUGGCAGCAGAGGCGGCUAUGGAAAAAUCUGCUCGAUUUCUGUUCGAUUUGUUUUUUUUAUCUCCGUUUGCUGUUCUUCUAUUCUUAUAUUUGGGAUCUAACAUAAACUGGAUUAAAACUUUGUGUGUUAUUUGAUGCGCACUCUGGAUGAUUUGUUGUUUGUUGGACUUAUGAUGUUGCGGACGAAAUUUUUUUAAUUAGGUUAGGUAUAUAUUUGGGAGGGAGCUAUCGGGGUGGGAAUCGGACAUAAAAUUUGGGUGCUACGGAUGCGAUCGAUCUGAGAAAAAAUAUUGGGAGCGAUCUGGAGGCGGAGUAAAAAAAACCGUGCGCCAUUGGGAAGUUGAAAAAAAGACCAUGCGAAAAAAAACCCUAGCGCUAUUUCCAUUUGGGGGUGACUUAUGAAAUUUUUCGGCAAAAACACCUUGAAUUUUUAUCUAUACUAAUAUAAAAAGAAGGAGUUCACCACUCCAAUCCAGGAGUUCACCACUCCGAUCCUAUAGGCCAAAUCAACUAUACUCCAUCCCCAGCGUCCCACGGCCCUCCCACGGUCCCACCUCCCACCAUCGCCUUGCCCACACUGGGGAUACCAUGACUCGGAUACAGAAACAAAAUCUGUCCCACCUCCCACCAUCGCCUUGCCCACACUGUGGAUACCAUGACUCGAAUACAUAAACAAAAUCGCAUGAUUUCCUCCCAACCUCCACGAGAAAAAGUACAAUAUGCCACUCCAUUCGGUGGGUUUAGAUAAAAUGCUAUCCAAUACAUUGUAAAGGAUAAAAUACCACUCAAUAGGUUACUUUUAGGAUAUUUUGCCACUUUGAGAGAUUUUAAGACCAAAAUACCCCUGGCCGUGGAUAGAGAGGAAGAGGGAGGAGCGGAAGGUUGACCCGGACGACGCUAAUGCUCGCCGGCGGCGGGUGGCGAGCGCACGGGGGUGGGCUGCGACAGGUGGACAGGGGGAGGAAGACGGCGGCGGAGAGGGAGGAAGACGACGACUGUGAUGGGGGAGGAAGAUGGCGGCGAUGAUGGGGGAGGAGGGCAACGCCGAUGGGAGGGAGGAGGAGGCGACGACGAUGACGCGGAGGGUUCUCCAGCGCUGCCCGCGCGUACGCUCACCCCCUCCGGUGCCACCCCCGCGCGCUUACCGGCGUCUUCUUCCUCUCCUCGUCGCCGCUAGCGGGAGCACAGAUGGUGCUUGUUCUUCCCUCGUCGCUGCCUGUGGCCGUGGUCAUUGGGAGGAAGACGGCGGCGGCGAUCGGGGAGAAGGGCAACGCCGACGGGAGGGAGGAGGAGGCGACGACGAUGACGUGGAGGGCUCUGCAGCGCUGCCCGCGCAUGCGCUCACCCCCUCCGGUGCCACCCCUGUGCGCUUAUCGGCGUCUUCUUUCUCUCCUCGUCGCUGCUAGCGGGAGCACGGACGGUGCUCGUUCUUCCCUCGUCGCUGCCCGCCGCCGACGACCACGGCCGCUGCCGUUCGACUCCUCUCUCCGGCUCUCUCUCCCUUCCUCUCUCUCUCUCCAAAGUAGGGGCAUAUUUGUCUUAAACCUCCUCAAAGUGGUAAAAUAUCCUAAAGAUAACCUAUUGAGUGGCAUUUUAUCCUUUGCAAUAUAUUGGGUGGCAUUUUGUCGAAACCCACCAUAUGGAGUGGCAUGCUGUCCUUUUUCUCCAACCUCCACCACACAAUUUUCUCCGCCUUCAUCGCCGGAGUCUUUUACCCCUGUGCCAUUAAGAAAGUUAGAGGUUACGUGUGUGCCACAAAAAAGUUUUGAGUCACCUGUAUACUAUGACACAAACUUUCGUUUACCUAUGCGCCACUUUGGAUGGAAUCAGCACUAACGGAGACUAAUGGAGGUUUAAAGGUUUAUUUUGCCCUUGCUCUAUUUCAGCCACUUUGAAUGAAACAUUGAACAUUUGAAAGAGAAAUCGGCUCACACACCGCAUAAAGGCUGAAAUGUAGGUUGAAGGAAAAUGAAAUAAAGUAAACAUUCUAAAAAAUUGAAAAUAAAGUUAAAACAAGAAAUAAAUAUGGAAAAAUUAGUAAAUAAUUUUAAAAUUAUGGAAAUAAAUAGAAAACUGGGAAUAAAUAAGAAAAAAAUUCGUAAAUAAAUUUUAAAAAAUCAUAAAUAAAUAUGAACAUAUGAAAAAAUAAGGAAAAUUCGUAAAAAGAUAAGGAAAAAAAAUGCGUGCAUAAGUAAGAAAAUGCAAAAAAAAAAAGAAAAAGCAGAAAUAAUACUUGGUUAUAGGAUCAACAUUCAAGCAACAGCUAGCAUUACAGAAUCACACCCAAACUGAACAAACUCUGAACUCUGCAACAAUAUGUAGCAGCAAGAAAGCAAUAAAUGCAACAAGCUGUUCGUCCUCACAGCUGCUUCAGUCCGUCGGCGAAGCAUGAGCUGAACCGCGCCAUGUCGGACUCCGGCAGCGCCACGCCGAUCUAGAUGCCGACCCUGCCGUCGCGCGCCUCCGCCAUGGACACCGUGCCGGGCGUCUUGUCGAUGGACAGGAGCUCCACCUUCAUCGGCCGGCCCAGCCCGAAGUCGGUGUCGUACACGGCGUACCGCGCGAGCCGGCGAUGGACAUCGGCCGGUGCGGCAUCAGCGACACGAUCUUCUGGAACCACCCAUCGGCACCGUCCAGAACGCCGUUGUCGAGCCCCCUGAUGGCGGCGCCGAUGCCCGCCGCCGCCGUCACCACGCCGCCGGCGCCGAGCAGGCCGGCCAUGUCAAGCAAGGGCGGAGGCAGUUGCCGAGGUACUCCUGCGGCACCGAGCCGGCCUGGGGGAGCCGGCCUAGGCGCGCCGCCGGAUCUGGCGAGGUGACGCGAGACGAGGCGAGGCAGCGGCGGCGGCGUGCCGGCGCCGGCGACGACCGGCGGCGGCUAUAAAGGCGGCGGCUAGGCUAGGGUGAAAUUGCUCGGGAGAGGAGCAGAGAUGAAAAUGCUUCAGGGGCAAUUUAGUCAUUUUCAUACGUGGGUCCCACAUGUCAGAGCUUAUUAUCUAACAAAAGAUGGAUGGAAUGGCAGAUAGGUAAACGAAAGUUUGUGUCAUGGUAUAUAGGUGACUCAAAAUUUUUUUUUGGCAUAUAGGUAACCUUCAACUUUCUUAAUGGCAUGGAGGUAAAAUACUCUCGUCGCCGCCUCUUCCCCUUCCGCGCGGUGCCUCCAUCCACCGCUGCCGCAUCGGCUCCUGCCUCCUGUCGCCGCUUCCGCUGCUCCUGUCGUCACCGAUGCCGCUCCCGUCUUCGCCGACGACGCCGGUGACUCCCUCCACCGCCCCGCCUCCGUGCCGCUCGCCACCACAAUUGGACCUGCUGGUCCAGGGUUCCGUUGGCGCCACAGCCCCGUCGCCGACCGGUGGUCCAGCCUUCCGCCAGCGCCACUGCUCCGUCGUUCUCCGGUGGUCCAGCUUUCCGUCGCGCCUCCGGUCUUGCCGCCGUUACGAGGGGCAUAGUCUGCCGUAGGUACUUCCAGCCGUGCGUCAAAAUUUCUUCUGCUGGUGAGAUCGAGUGAGACCCCAUUGACUCAAAUUGACUCUUCUGAAUCCCCAUUAGUCUUCUGUGUGGAUUCUUAUUCAGCUGAAGGGCUAUAUCCUAUCAAGGUGACUGGUGUUGCUCCAUUCAGACUAACAUUGUAGACUUGUAGUUGCCAUGCUGCGUCUCUUCCAGAUUACUUUAUAGAGAAAUUAUAUUGUACAGGUUUGAGAAUUGUUCAAGUGAUACUGCAUUCCACCAUUUGAUUUCUUUAGCUAGGGAUACUAUAAAAUUGUCGUAAUACAAGCUUAUACGGAUAUGCUGGGGAUGGGUGAACAGGAUGGAAGGCAUUUUUUAUAGGCCCUUGUCAGAUGAUGGCUUUUGGCUUUAAGAUGCUCUAUGAGAAGGGUCAAGGAGAUUUUGUUCUGUUAUUUAUCAUUGAUUGGCAUUUGGUUGAUAUAUAUGAAUUAAUAUACUCCAUAGGCACAACAAAAAGGUAAUAUUCAUAUAUGCAGGAUUAUUUCUUUGCUUUAAGUUUUUACUAAUUUUUACUAUGGUUAUUGGUCACUGGUCAGAUAAGGUACAUACAUAUAUUUGCGUAGUAUAAACAUAUUAAAGAAACUCAGCUUAGUGUAUGCAAGGGGGCAUGGAACAACUCUGAUUCUGAAUAGGAAUAACUUCUUCCUUUUUCUGGGCUAGGAAUUUGAGUGUUUACUUUUUCAUUAACAAGCCUUAUGUGCUCCUAGCUAGCAGCUGCCGGUGAAUUGAUAAAAUUUUGGUGAUUUUGUCCUAACGCUUCAAAUUUUGUUUUGGGUAGAUCCAAGGACAAAUAUAUUCUCCAAACAGAUGAACUUUUAUUAAAGAAAAAUAAGAUAUUUUAUUUUGAGGCACAAGUAUGUGCUAUAGCCCCAACCUCUACCCAGGGGCACACGACCAAAACACAUUCCAUGAUGCUCCAGAAGUCUAGCACUGCUACAACAUGCAUAAUUUCAUCUUUAUAUUGGCAUUGAUCCGGGAUUAUCCUAGCCAUUGUCACAUGCUGCUAAGAGGCGGUCCUUUUUUCCUUCUUUGUGAGAGGAGGCAACCUUCAUAUAAGCCUGGUGGCAUCUCUGACCACAUGCUUGGAGGAUGGAAUUAGGCAAUGUGAUGCACAUGACUUCAAUGAAGCGAGUUAAUCGGGGUUGUAGAUUUGGAGGAUGGCAUCAGGGAAGGUGAUGCACAUGACUUAAGUGGAGCAAGUUAAUCACGAUUGCAGGAGCAUCUGAAUUUAGAAUCUGAACUUCGACAAGCAUCUAAAUAUUGUUCAAUGUUUUAAUUUGCUGUGAGCUAAUUAAAGUUAUGAAUUUCUCAUAGCUCAAGUACCGGAAGUUUAGAAAUUCUCCAGACAAUGUAAGGUUUGUGUGGGUUUAGUGUCUGACCUUAGCCAUUGCAAUAUGUGUAAACAAUAUACUCCUAUUAUCAUUUAAGGUUGAACAUGGAAUGUACUCCCUCCGUUUCAUAAUGUAGGUCAUUCUAGCAUUUCCCAUGUUUAUAUGGAUGUUAGUGAAUCUAGGCAUAUAUGUAUGUCUAGAUUCACUAACAUCCAUAUGAAUAUGGGAAACGCUAGAAUGACCUACAUUAUUAAACAGAGGGAGUAUCUUUUUUUUAGAACUACAUGGAAUGUAUCUGAAUUCAAUGUGUGGACAUACCAUUGCCAUUUUUUUUGAA